ACAGACGAGUUUGAUCAUGGCUCAGAUUGAACGCUGGCGGUAGGCCUAACACAUGCAAGUCGAACGCGAAAGUCCUUCGGGAUGAGUAGAGUGGCGGACGGGUGAGUAACGCGUAGGAAUCUAUCCUGUAGUGGGGGAUAACGUUUCGAAAGGAACGCUAAUACCGCAUACGCCCUACGGGGGAAAGCGGGGGAUCUUCGGACCUCGUGCUAGAGGAGGAGCCUGCGUCGGAUUAGCUAGUUGGUGAGGUAAAGGCUCACCAAGGCGACGAUCCGUAGCUGGUCUGAGAGGAUGAUCAGCCACACCGGAACUGAGACACGGUCCGGACUCCUACGGGAGGCAGCAGUGGGGAAUAUUGCGCAAUGGGCGAAAGCCUGACGCAGCCAUACCGCGUGUGUGAAGAAGGCCUUCGGGUUGUAAAGCACUUUCAGUGGGGAGGAAAAGCUGGUGGCUAAUAUCCAUCGGCCGUGACGCUACCCACAGAAGAAGCACCGGCUAAUUCCGUG
rnacentral:rRNA from 1 species